CCUACGGGCGGCUGCAGUGGGGAAUAUUGGACAAUGGGCGAAAGCCUGAUCCAGCCAUGCCGCGUGUGUGAAGAAGGCCUUCGGGUUGUAAAGCACUUUCAGUGGGGAAGAAAGCCUUGGGGCUAAUACCCUCGAGGAAGGACAUCACCCACAGAAGAAGCACCGGCUAACUCCGUGCCAGCAGCCGCGGUAAUACGGAGGGUGCGAGCGUUAAUCGGAAUUACUGGGCGUAAAGUGCGCGUAGGCGGUCUGAUAAGCCGGUUGUGAAAGCCCCGGGCUCAACCUGGGAACGGCAUCCGGAACUGUCAGGCUAGAGUGCAGGAGAGGAAGGUAGAAUUCCCGGUGUAGCGGUGAAAUGCGUAGAGAUCGGGAGGAAUACCAGUGGCGAAGGCGGCCUUCUGGACUGACACUGACGCUGAGGUGCGAAAGCGUGGGUAGCAAACAGGAUUAGAUACCCCAGUAGUC
rnacentral:rRNA from 1 species